rnacentral:rRNA from 1 species
AUGAAUUGACGGGGGCCCGCACAAGCGGUGGAGCAUGUGGUUUAAUUCGAUGCAACGCGAAGAACCUUACCUGGUCUUGACAUCCACGGAAGUUUUCAGAGAUGAGAAUGUGCCUUCGGGAACCGUGAGACAGGUGCUGCAUGGCUGUCGUCAGCUCGUGUUGUGAAAUGUUGGGUUAAGUCCCGCAACGAGCGCAACCCUUAUCCUUUGUUGCCAGCGGUCCGGCCGGGAACUCAAAGGAGACUGCCAGUGAUAAACUGGAGGAAGGUGGGGAUGACGUCAAGUCAUCAUGGCCCUUACGACCAGGGCUACACACGUGCUACAAUGGCGCAUACAAAGAGAAGCGACCUCGCGAGAGCAAGCGGACCUCAUAAAGUGCGUCGUAGUCCGGAUUGGAGUCUGCAACUCGACUCCAUGAAGUCGGAAUCGCUAGUAAUCGUGGAUCAGAAUGCCACGGUGAAUACGUUCCCGGGCCUUGUACACACCGCCCGUCACACCAUGGGAGUGGGUUGCAAAAGAAGUAGGUAGCUUAACCUUCGGGAGGGCGCUUACCACUUUGUGAUUCAUGACUGGGGUGAAGUCGUAACAAGGUAACCGUAGGGGAACCUGCGGUUGGAUCACCUCCUUA